UACGAAGGGGGCUAGCGUUGUUCGGAAUUACUGGGCGUAAAGGGCGCGUAGGCGGUGUGUCAAGUCAGGCGUGAAAGCCCCGGGCUCAACCUGGGAACCGCGCUUGAGACUGGCACGCUCGAGUUCGGGAGAGGAUGGUGGAAUUCCCAGUGUAGAGGUGAAAUGCGCAGAUAUCAGGAGGAACACCAAUGGCGAAGGCGGCUCGCUGGGACGACACUGACGCUGAGACGCGAAAGCGUGGGGAGCAAACAGG
rnacentral:rRNA from 1 species